rnacentral:piRNA from 1 species
CUAGUGGAAGGUUUCUGAUAU